CAGUCGCCGCGGGAAUACGUAGGUGGCAAGCGUUGUCCGGAAUUAUUGGGCGUGAAGGGCUCGCAGGCGGUUUCUUAAGUCUGAUGUGAAAGCCCCCGGCUCAACCGGGGAGGGUCAUUGGAAGCUGGGAAACUUGAGUGCAGAAGAGGAGAGUGGAAUUCCACGUGUAGCGGUGAAAUGCGUAGAGAUGUGGAGGAACACCAGUGGCGAAGGCGACUCUCUGGUCUGUAACUGACGCUGAGGAGCGAAAGCGUGGGGAGCGAACAGGAUUAGAUACCCGUGUAGUCCCUGUCUCUUAUAC
rnacentral:rRNA from 1 species